GCUCCAAUGGCACAGUUGGUAGUGCCGUCUGAUUUCGUAACCCGUCACAAAGGAGAUGUGCGGCGGUUCGAAUCCGCCUUAGGGCG